rnacentral:rRNA from 1 species
AUUGAACGCUGGCGGCAUGCCUUACACAUGCAAGUCGAACGGCAGCGCGGACUUCGGUCUGGCGGCGAGUGGCGAACGCGUGAGUAAUACAUCGGAACGUACCCUGUUGUGGGGGAUAACUAGUCGAAAGAUUAGCUAAUACCGCAUACGACCUGAGGGUGAAAGUGGGGGACCGCAAGGCCUCACGCAGCAGGAGCGGCCGAUGUCUGAUUAGCUAGUUGGUGGGGUAAAGGCCCACCAAGGCGACGAUCAGUAGCUGGUCUGAGAGGACGAUCAGCCACACUGGGACUGAGACACGGCCCAGACUCCUACGGGAGGCAGCAGUGGGGAAUUUUGGACAAUGGGGGCAACCCUGAUCCAGCAAUGCCGCGUGUGUGAAGAAGGCCUCCGGGUUGUAAAGCACUUUUGUCCGGAAAGAAAUCGCGCUGGUUAAUACCUGGCGUGGAUGACGGUACCGGAAGAAUAAGCACCGGCUAACUACGUGCCAGCCGCCGCAGUAA